GAGGGUAUAGCUCAGUGGUGGAGUGCAUGCCUAGCAUGCACAAGGUCCUGGGCUCAAUCCCCAGUACCUCCA
rnacentral:tRNA from 1 species